CUUGCUAGGAGGCGUACGAGCGGCGGACGGGUGAGUAACGCAUAGGAAUCUACCCAGUCGUGGGGGAUAACCUGAGGAAACUCAGGCUAAUACCGCAUACGUCCUACGGGAGAAAGCGGGGGCUCUUCGGACCUCGCGCGAUUGGAUGAGCCUAUGUCGGAUUAGCUAGUUGGUAAGGUAACGGCUUACCAAGGCAACGAUCCGUAGCUGGUCUGAGAGGAUGAUCAGCCACACCGGGACUGAGACACGGCCCGGACUCCUACGGGAGGCAGCAGUGGGGAAUAUUGGACAAUGGGCGAAAGCCUGAUCCAGCCAUGCCGCGUGUGUGAAGAAGGCUUUCGGGUUGUAAAGCACUUUCAGCGAGGAAGAAAGCGUGCCGUUUAAUACACGGUACGGACGACAUCACUCGCAGAAGAAGCACCGGCUAACUCCGUGCCA
rnacentral:rRNA from 1 species